rnacentral:lncRNA from 1 species
CUCAAUUCCACUUUUGCCUCCAGUUCUCAGGGAUUAGACAACCCAAGGUACGUGAUCAGACUUUGUUUUGAUUUUAGAAGAUCGUGCUGGCUGCAAGCCGACUGAAGAGAUUAGAGUGAAUACAGGCCAGCCGGCAGGGGGGCCAUUGCGCCCGCCCAGGUGAGACAGGGCUGGAGCUGGUGAGAGAGAUGGAGAGAGGAGGAUGGAUUCAAGAGAUACUCAGAAGCAGACAGGCUACAGGAAAUAGCAGAUUGGGAGAGGAGUGGGAACAGGAGAAGCUGUCUUUGGCUCGGCUGGAAGGUGAAGGGAUUCCAGAUGCCGGUUCCUGGCUUGCUCCCCGCUCUCCAUUUGGCUUCAUCCUGGGGCUCUCUUCCUCCCCACAGAGGGGUGGUGGGCACUCUGUGCCACACCUCUCCUCUCUGGGAUCUCAGGUCUGUCCCUGAAACCUGCUGGUAGAAGAACCUCUAGAGUCCUUGCCUCCUUCCCACCGUGUGACCAUUGCCCAUUGGCACAUCUGUCAAGACACAGAUUUUUGGAAGAAAAAAGAAAGAGUGAAUGCUGCAGAGAUGGAUUGUUAAUUUUCCAAAUGAGAUAUGACUCUGAGAUCCCACCUACCCAGCUGGUAGGACGUUCCACCAUGCUCCCUAAGGUGGUUUGAGUGUUUGGAAUGACAAAGACUCUCUCAUCACCCUGAAACCUUAGUCCGGCGGCGCCUCUGAGUCUUCUGCUUGACGAGGCCUGACCUUGGGCUUCCCCAUGUCCUUUCAGAAUCCAGUUUGAGCAAGAAUCCUGCUAAGUCAGAUGGAGUCUCGCUCUGUCGCCCAGGCUGGAGUGCAGUGGUGCGAUCUCGGCUCACUACAAGCUCCGCCUCCUGGGUUCCCACUAUUCUCCUGCCUCAGCCUCCCAAGUAGCUGGGACUACAGGUGUCUGCCACCACGCCCAGCUAAUUUUUUGUAUUUUUAGUAGAGAUGGGGUUUCACCGUGUCAGCCAGGAUGGUCUCGGUCUCCUGACCUUGUGAUCCGCCUGCCUCGGCCUCCCAAAGUGCUGGGAUUACGGGCAUGAGCCACAGCGCUCAGCCCUAAUUUUUGUAUUUUUAGUAGAAAAGGGGUUUCACUAUGUUGGCCAUGCUGGUCUUGAAUUCCUGAACUCAGGUGAUCCGCCCACCUUGACCUCCCAAAAUGCUGGGAUUACAGGCAUGAGCCACCGCACCUGGUUUCUUAACAUUCUUUGCCACCUCCUCUGCUAUAUCUAUUUACUUUGUAUCCACCAGAUCGAAAGCUCAGGUCUAAUUCCCUGUACCUAGAAUAUUGCCUGUAGUGUAGUAGGCACUUAAGGUUUUGUUGAGUGAGAGAAUGAAUAAACAAACAGAAGGAUUUGCUUUUCAAACCAGAGCCUCCCUGCCUCCUGCUCUGCCUGCUAAGGAUCAGGAGGAGACAGCAGCUAAGGAAGGCAGUCCUGAAUUUUCCCUAGGGAUAGGGAGUAAGUGGGGGGAUCCCUGAGAAACGCUGGAAGCACCCACUCUGCUGCCAAGGCUGCGAGGAAAACAGGCCAGAGUAUCCUAACAGCCUCCACUCAGAAGGGGCCUGGAAACUUUUAACCAGACAAAAUAACAAAUGCAGUGGUUUAGGGCUUGGUGGGGCUUCCCACCCGUCCCACCCCUGUCCCACACACCUAGGCCCACAUUGAAUGCCCUCAGCACCUCCGGCUGCACAGGGGCCUGUUUUCCCUGACUCUGCUGCUGUUCACAGAACCAACUUCCUCCCACCCCACACAGACGCUCCCUUCCCAGAGCUCAUUGGGAACCUUCUGAUUUGCAUCUCCAAAGAAAUAAAAUAAAUUCCACUAAAUGCUG